rnacentral:lncRNA from 1 species
GAUUUAAAGAUUUUUUUUUUUAAAUUUAGAAUAAUCUAUCAACAUUAGAGUCACAAGCAAACAGUAGUUAAUUGAAGCGGAUUUCCAAGCUGUACCUGUGGGCUUCUUUUCCAGAGUUCAAGGUGCAGACUCUGAGCCAUGCUUUGGGGUCACUCAUGCACCCCGUCCUGCUGAUUCUACCUAAGCUGUUGGACUCGUAACCCACUCUGCACUUGAGAACAUGGGAAUAAGGGAUGAAACAAGUGACCCUAACUGGCAAGAUGUCAAGAAUCAAGUUUCUUUAGUUUGUGCCAAACCAAAACACUGUCUAUUCUCAGACUUAAAGCUGCCUGAACCUUCUUUAGUUUAUCAAAAAGGCCCAGACAGAAGACUGGUGCUGCUCUGCUACUAUGAAGAGCAGAUCGUCCCCUCCCUCCUUCUUGACACUCACCGUUGGGUUUUGUGUGACAGCAUGUGCCACCUGUGUUGGCUCCAUCUUUGCUCCAAUACUGAGUCAUCUUGCUCCUCCUGCAUGUCUUCCAGGGUGUGGGGGAACUGAGUACCUGUUUUUUGCAAGCAGAUAGAUGGAUAUCACUUUGGAAUUGAUUUGACAUACUUCCCAGUACCAGGCUGGGUGCUAGACGCCGGGGAUGACUAUAAAUGUUCUCAGUUAUCAUUGUUCAUAACUUAAAACUUUGGGUAACUAAAAUACUGUGUGAUCUUGAACAAAUAAUUUAACCUCUCUCUGAAAUACUUCACAAGGUAAUUGUACUAAGUGGUUGGGAUUACAUAUGAAAACAACAUAAACCCUGGGUCAUAGUUGCAAGUGUAGACUGAGUUUGUGUGGAUAUGCAAAUGGACAAAUGGACCCAAGUCAACGUCCUCUGCCUCUGCCGUUUGUUAAGUGAGAAAGGUCAUUGCCAAGUGAAAAAGGACUUAUACCUUUAAUUUUGCUUGGAAGUCUCCAUUCAAAAUGAAAAGGUACUUCAGGGAUAAUCCAUCAAUAGAUCCCAUAACAUACUUCACAGUCAAGGAGAAAAUAACAUGAACAAAGGAAGGAAGAAAAUUAGAUUAAAUAAAACGUCUUUAUUUCAAAGUAAUGAAGACGGG